GAAACCUAGCAGAGGGCCAGUCUGGUGCCAGCAGCUGCGGUAAUUCCAGCUCUGCGAGUUUGCUCCCAUAUUGUUGCAGUUAAAACGCCCGUAGUCUGAAUUGGCCAGCAAUGGUCGUACGUAUUUUUACGUUCACUGUGAACAAAUCAGGACGCUUAGAGUAUGGCCACAUGAAUGACUCAGCGCAGUAUGAAGUCUUUGUUUUCUUCCGAAAACAAGCUCAAUGAGAGCCAUCGGGGGUAGAUCUAUCUCAUGACGAGUGGUGGAAUACUUUGACUCAUGAGAGAGAAGCUGAGGCGAAGGCGUCUACCUAGAGGGUUUCUGUCGAUCAAGGGCGAGAGUAGGAGUAUCCAACAGGAUUAGAGACCCUGGUAGUUCCUACCUUAAACGAUGCCGACAGGAGUUUGUCAUUUGUUAAUGGCAGAAUCUUUGGAGAAAUCAUAGUUCUUGGGCUCUGGGGGAACUACGACCGCAAGGCUGAAACUUGAAGGAAUUGACGGAAGGGCACACCAGGGGUGGAGCCUGUGGCUUAAUUUGAAUCAACACGGGGAAACUUACCAGGACCAGAUGUUUUUUAUGACUGACAGGCUUCGGGUCUUUCAGGAUAUUGUUUUUGGUGGUGCAUGGCCGUUGGUGGUGCGUGGGUUGACCUGUCUAGCGUUGAUUCAGCUAACGAGCGAGAUUAUCGCCAAUUAUUUACUUUGCCGAAGUCCUUCGGUUAAAGUUCUAAUUGGGACUCCCUGCGAUUUUAGCAGGUGGAAGAGGGUAGCAAUAACAGGUCCGUGAUGCCCUUUAGAUGCUCUGGGCUGCACGCGUGCUACAAUGUUAGGAUCAAUAGGACUGCGAGCCUGAGAGGGUGCGCUACUCUUAUAAUCCCUAACGUAGUUGGGAUUGACGUUUGUAAUCAGCGUCAUGAACCAGGAAUCCCUUGUAAAUGUGUGUCAACAACGCACGUGAAUACGUCCCUGCCCUUUGUACACACCGCCCGUCGCUCCUACCGAUUGGAUGACUCGGUGAAAUCACCGGAUGCUUACGAGCAGAAAGUGAUUAAAUCACGUUAUCUAGAGGAAGGAGAAGUCGUAACAAGGUAACGGUAGGUGAACCUGCCGUUGGAUCAGUU
rnacentral:ncRNA from 1 species